CAGAGACGGUGUGUGUGUUAGCGGCAGGAGCUUCCGUUAAGCCCGCGGUGACGAACAGCGGCAUUUCCUGAGACGGCGGCUAAUGGCAGCUGCAGACCAGACGUGGGUCAGCUUCCUCAGAAACCCAGUGUGAACGCCACCGKUUGUCCGGAGGCAGCUGUCAAACUAUUAGUCGGUGAACAUCCGGAGCGCUGGUUCUCCAGCAGCUACCGCUGKCCUGAUUGAAACAUCAACAUUAGGGGCGAUGGUCUUUCUUCAGUGUCGGCUUUCAGCCAGCCAGACCUUUGAGACCGAUGAUGGGCUCCGUUGAGUCCUUUCAGGGGGGCCAACAGUUCAGUCUGUCAGGACUCCGCACUCACAACACUACAGGCAGGAAUAAGCACCGGUUGAGUCCCCCCUAAUUAAAGCCUGUCACUCAAACGCACACUCUGCAUCACCUAGAAAUAGUCCAGAGUGGGCGAUGGGUUACAUAGUGCCUACGAGGCCACGUGACAUUUUAAAAAUACACUUUCUUUUCAGACUCCUUCAGAGUUUCAGGCCUUUGAAGAAAUGCACAUUGCCCGCCGCCUUUCAUGUCAGAGUUUUAACCUAAAAUCAUUUCCUUUGGUCAAACCUUCAUGUUAUCAGUUAGAUCUCAAAGUAUGUUUAGGGGCGACUCAGACUCAGUUCCUCUAGUGAUUACUGUCUGUUAGUUUUUGUAAAAUCCACUGUUUGUGAGAUAUUUUUGCCUUCAUUGGCAGACCAUGCCAAAGUGUUUGAACACCUUUACUAAAACCUGCCUGAGUAAUAA